UGGGGAAUAUUGGACAAUGGGCGCAAGCCUGAUCCAGCCAUGCCGCGUGAGUGAUGAAGGCCCUAUGGUUGUAAAGCUCUUGCACCGGUGAAGAUAAUGACGGUAACCGGAGAAGAAGCCCCGGCUAACUUCGUGCCAGCAGCCGCGGUAAUACGAAGGGGGCUAGCGUUGUUCGGAUUUACUGGGCGUAAAGCGCACGUAGGCGGACUAUUAAGUCAGGGGUGAAAUCCCGGGGCUCAACCCCGGAACUGCCUUUGAUACUGGUAGUCUUGAGUUCGAGAGAGGUGAGUGGAAUUCCGAGUGUAGAGGUGAAAUUCGUAGAUAUUCGGAGGAACACCAGUGGCGAAGGCGGCUCACUGGCUCGAUACUGACGCUGAGGUGCGAAAGCGUGGGGAGCAAACAGG
rnacentral:rRNA from 1 species